rnacentral:rRNA from 1 species
UGAACGCUGGCGGCGUGCUUAACACAUGCAAGUCGAACGAGAACGGAAUAUAGCUUGCUAUAUUUGUCAGCUAAGUGGCGCACGGGUGAGUAAUGUAUAGAUAACCUGCCCUUAAGAAAGGAAUAACAGUUGGAAACGACUGCUAAUGCCCUAUAUGCCUUUAAUACAUAAGUAUGCAAGGGAAACGCUUUAGUGCUUAAGGAUGGGUCUGUAUGGUAUCAGCUUGUUGGUGAGGUAAUGGCUCACCAAGGCUAUGACGCCUAACUGGUUUGAGAGGAUGAUCAGUCACACUGGAACUGAGACACGGUCCAGACUCCUACGGGAGGCAGCAGUGGGGAAUAUUGCACAAUGGACGAAAGUCUGAUGCAGCAACGCCGCGUGGAGGAUGACACAUUUCGGUGCGUAAACUCCUUUUAUAUAGGAAGAUAAUGACGGUACUAUAUGAAUAAGCACCGGCUAACUC